UACGUAGGGUGCAAGCGUUGUCCGGAAUUAUUGGGCGUAAAGAGCUCGUAGGCGGUUUGUCGCGUCUGCCGUGAAAGUCCGGGGCUCAACUCCGGAUCUGCGGUGGGUACGGGCAGACUAGAGUGAUGUAGGGGAGACUGGAAUUCCUGGUGUGGCGGUGAAAUGCGCAGAUAUCAGGAGGAACACCGAUGGCGAAGGCAGGUCUCUGGGCAUUAACUGACGCUGAGGAGCGAAAGCAUGGGGAGCGAACAGG
rnacentral:rRNA from 1 species